GAGUAGUAAAAGUUAAGAUCUACAAACUCAAAAAAUUUGGCGGUAUUUUAUCUUAUUAGAGGAACCUGUAUAUUAAUUGAUAUUCCACAAUUAAAUUUACUUUUAUUAAAAUACUUGUAUACCGCUGUCAUGAAUAUAUUAAAAAAUUAAUUUUCUUUUCCUUUUUCUGAUUUAUGUUAGGUCAAGGUGCAGUAUUUAAAGAUACUUAUGGGUUACAGUAUAAAUUAUGAAUGUUGGAAAGAGGAUUUAAAAGUAAAAAUAUAUAAAAAUUAUAUGAAUAGAGAUUCUGAAAUAUG
rnacentral:rRNA from 1 species